GACGAACGCUGGCGGCGUGCCUCAUACAUGCAAGUCGAGCGGAUGCAGCAAUGCAUUAGCGGCGGACGGGUGAGUAACACGUGGGCAACCUGGCCUUAAGAGGGGGAUAACGUCCCGAAAGGGACGCUAAUACCGCGUAAAUCAGCGAAAUCGCAUGAUUUUGUUGGAAAAGGAGUAAUCCGCUUAAGGAUGGGCCCGCGGCCUAUUAGCUAGUUGGUAGGGUAAUGGCCUACCAAGGCUGUGAUGGGUAGCCGGCCUGAGAGGGUGAUCGGCCACACUGGAACUGAGACACGGUCCAGACUCCUACGGGAGGCAG
rnacentral:rRNA from 1 species